GUGAAGGAUUGGCAGUGUAUUUCCAAGUUGGGAUGAUGAGAGGUUGAAUGUAAUUUUUGCGAAAUUUGAUGAGGUUCAGAAAUCUGGAAAUAUGAUUUUGUCUUCAGCAGCUGAUAAGAAUUUUGAUGAAGAUGAUUCGGUGGAUGGAAAUAGGCCAUCUUCUGCUAGCUCCACGUCUUCAAAAGCUCCCAGUUCACGGCGUAUGGUUGGUACCAGUCGUAGACCAGGAUCAUCUGCAGUUGGCUUGAGGACUGGUACAGGUAACAAUAUCUGAUAUACAUUCAUCUGAUGUAUAAAUUGCUAUGUGUUUUUACAUUGUUUACCCUGUUUUCACUUCA